CCUAGGGGUCGUCGGCCAUCGGGAACAGGGGCUGGGGCGGUGUUUGAGCUUUCAGGGAGGCGGCGGCGUUUUCGUCGUUGCCGAGGAGGAGAGAGAGAAUAGGGGGAGUGACAGGGGUUCGAGGGAGAGGUGUUCCGGAGCGGCGCUCGUCGCCGGGGGUGGUGGCACGCGGCCGUGAGUUAGAGAGAGAGAGAGACUGAAGCGUGAGUGUGUGCGUGACUGACGUGUGUGUUGUGCGUGACUGAUGAAGGGGAAGAAGGAGGAAAAGGUUGGGUGUUAGGUUAGGGCUGAAGUCAGUUGGGCCGUUAUUCUUUGUUUUAUUUUUAAUUCCAAU
rnacentral:lncRNA from 1 species